AGUUUAGCACAAUAUUCUCAUCAUUUGACAGUUUCUCGCGAAUCAUGGCGGAUGAUAUAAAUACGGUGGUCAAAUAUGAUGGUGAAAACGCGUGGUUUAGUGUCGAUUUCCGUGAGAAAAAAGUGUUUUUAGACCUGGAAAAAGCAGCUCGAGAAUAACUCCGGGAAGCUGGAGAUGUUUGAUGAAACUGACGCCGUCAACUAUCUCAGCAUUUGGCAAGAAAUAUAUUUAUUUCAAAGCUGCUCCCUUUGCUAGAUUAACCAAGGCCAUCCCUUGCUCCACAAAGUGGCAGUAAAUUGGAAGUCCACUGUGGAGGUGGCUCCACCAGCUCUUAUGAAAUCGUCAGAUCUUUUCUACAAGUUCAUCGUAAAGAAUGGUCCCCAGAAAUAUAUGAGUUGUUGAAUAACGCUUCUACGUUCAACUGGAAGUAGCCGUGAAACUAAGCGACCAUCUUUGAAGCAAGUAUUCAAAGAUUUCAUAGUAUUUCAGUCGGGAAAUUAAUAAAUAACUACAAAAUUGUCUCCAACCAUACUUAUUUAAGGUGGAACACGAUUAGAUAUAAGACGCUUUUAUGUGCCAGUUGAUGAAUCACUAAUUGUGAUGAAUUGUAAGUACAAUUGCUGAAAAAAUCUAAAUAUAUAUAUUUAAAUGGAUACUAUAGUAUCCAAGUAAAAUGAUAUAAUUUUGAUAAAAAAAAACAUAAUAUUUUUCUGGAAUUUUUUUCAACAUAAUAAAAAUAUUAUUUAAUUCAAGCUCUUAGGCAUAUAAAAGUACAUUUGAACUAUAUUUUCAAACAUUUUCAAUCAAAAAAUUUAAAAAUUCAGCUUUUGGGGCUUUCUGGGGAUUUUUGGAGACCUUUUUAGUAAAAAUAUACUUUUCGGUGGACAAGAUUUCUCGGAAUUGGUUCAUCUGAAAUCCAAAAACUAAAUAUUUUUUGUUAUCUGAUGAGUCAAAUUAGUCCACGAACGAAGGAUUUUUGAAAAUAACUUUUUUGAUUUUAGGGAAAAUUUAGAAUAAGUUCUGAUCAAACAAACAUAAAAUUCUUCGUUCAAGGACUAGUUUAACUCAUUGGUUAACAGGGAAUAUUUGAUUUUUAGAUUUCAAAUCAACGAAUUAUGAGAAAUUUUUUCCACUGAAAAGUAUAUUUUUUCCAAAAAAAUCUCUAAAAAUCAGGUAUUACCAUGGCUAAAUUUUUAAAUUCUUUAAAUAAAAAUUUUAGAAAAUAUAAUUCAAAUAUUGUACUUUUUAUAUGCUUGAGAGCUUCAAUUACAUUUUUUUUUUUAUAAUUCUGAAAAAAAUUAGAGAAAAUAUUUCAUUUUUAAGUCUUCUUGACCCACGUAACUUCUUAAGGUAAAAACAAAGAAAGAAAUAUGUAUGUUGACAAAAUUAAACACAAGAAAUAUUUCUCACUUUGCAUAAUUAACUCUUAUUAUUGUAUAGUUUUCAAAAAAAUAUAUAAUGUGUAUAGAGAAAUUGUUAUAUUUUAGCUAUAUUUAAAUAAAAUAUUUUUAGUAAUGACUGAA